AUAGUAGUAGUAGUAGUAGUAGUAAGGGUAGUCAUAUAGUAGUAGUAGUAGUAGUAGUAGUAGUAGUAGUAGUAAUAGUAGUAGUAGUAGUAAGGGUAGUCAUAUAGUAUCAGUAGUAGUAGUAGUAGUAGUAGUAGUAGUAGUAGUAGUAAGGGUAGUCAUAUAGUAGUAGUAGUAGUAGUAGUAGUAGUAGUAGUAGUAGUAGUAGUAGUAGUAGUAGUAGUAGUAGUAGUAGUAGUAGUAGUAGUAAGGGUAGUCAUAUAGUAGUAGUAGUAGUAAUUAGGAUGAUCAGAGUGAACUGUUAAUAUUUUGUUCAACAAUCUUUUUUUUUUUUUUUCAUUUAAUCCUGCCUUUCAGAAUCUAAAUAAGGUAUUUACAUGUCUCCCAGAAGACAAAAUACUAACAAUUUACACUGAUCAUCCUUUUCAAAAGUUUACACUCCCCUGGCUCUUAAUGUAUCGUGUUGCAUUUUUGAGCAUCAGUGAGCGUUUGCACCUUUUCUUAAUAGUCAUGUACGAGUCCCUCAUAGAUAUCUCCCAGUUUUGAACCAAAAUUGACUCAAAAUCACAUCCGUUGUGUAUCCUCCCAUGUGCUGCCUUCUAAUAGUGCUUGCUCUUGCGUGACUGAACAUGGCGGAGGCUAUGCUAGUGCACGGUUAGUAUUGAAAAGUUCUGUGAGACAAAAAACAGCUGAGUAAGUCGGAUAGUCACAUUGGAUU
ensembl:lncRNA